rnacentral:piRNA from 1 species
UCCCCACGCAGGAUGCAUCCAGCCACAGU